UCUCUCUGUACGGGAAGGAUGAGAAGCUUCGACUAAGGUUCGAUUCGAGCGUCAGCGAGAAAGCGUUGCCGCAGGCAACGACCCGAAGGGCGAAGCGCGCAGCGCUGAGUCAUCCUUCCCCCACCACCA
rnacentral:sRNA from 1 species